AAAAAGGAAAUAAGGAGUUAUUGUAGAAACCUCUUAUCCUUUGCGGCACAACUCUUUAGCCCCUAAAUUACGAUGUGAGCCACCGCCUCCCAGACCAUCCUCUCUCUUUCACCACCGUUCUUUCGCCAUACCUCUUUUGUGUAUAUGGAAUACAUGAGCUACACAUAUAACCGACAAAUCUUUGCAAACAAUACCCAAUGAGCCUCAAAACAUCAAAUUUGACAACGGAGUAAUUGAGUUGAGGAAUAUCAGACUCCUAUUGUAUAUGCGACUCUCCUCGACGUGAUGGUUGAUAUUGGUGUAGACAUGCCAUUGACAUUAUUGCAACUUCGUUCCACCUCUAAGAUGUUAUCAAGCGGUGAAUAUCGUUCCCAGAGAAGUGAAAGAAGGAAAAUAAGUGAAGAACGAUGAGAAGAUUUAAGAAUACUGAGGAGUGCCUUCAGUAGGUAGCAAGCUGCCUAUUUGAUGGAAGUUCUGACCAUGGAGUCGAAAUAUAUAUGGUCCACGUCCGUUGUUAACUGAAGCAUCAAUUUGUCCACCCAUGGAAGUUAAAGCGAACAUGGAAUUAUAUGGCUUAAUGUUCUCUCUGAAGUUUAUGCUUACACUGUCAAUCCCAAAUAUCAGUCUGAAGAGGAUUGGAGGUAACAUAGGAGGGGGGGGGGAGUUCAACUUUUCCGUGCAUACAACACAUUGAAAACUGUGGAGGUAUUUGGUUUCUUCUUUUGUUAAUACGUUCAUUGUACCACAUCAAAGCAUUACAAUGCUGACACAAAUAAACUGCAUCGCCAUAGUGUUCAUAACCUGUCAAAAAAGAGAAAAGAUAGAACAGUAGUAAAUUUAUUGUUCACGUAAAGUUGUUGUAAAUAUUGCAUAAAAAAUAAAGCUUACAUAUUUGGCCAAUAUCUGUUUGAGAUGUUCUUUCAACUUGCUGAGUAUUUGAGCUGCUACAUCUGUAUCUCUCUGCAUUAUUAAUAAUGAAGUGGACUUAGGGUUAGUCAUACUUUAUGCUGAAUAGGCUGACUGAUUUUCCUUUCUUGUGUGUGAAUAUUUGAUGAUAGUGUGUGAAUAUUUGAUGAUAGUCAUACUUUAUGCCUUGAAUCGAUUCGAAUUCAUAAUUCAGUUGAGUUGUUUAGUAGAAAAGUUAAGUUAACUUACGGUUUGUAAUGUCACUUAGAGGCUGUUGUGAUUGACUAUUUCUGGACGAUGCAAAAGAGGAGGUAACACUUGAAACUGCAUUUUCUGUUUUGUAGGAUAACAUAUUGAAUAGAAAGAGUUAAAUAAUAUAUGUUUCAAUUUAGGUUAAAUAAUAGUAUGAGAAUAAGUAACUUACCAUCACUGAAGAUUUUCUUUGCCUGUCUGCUGUUUACGUUUAAUACAUGUUUCCCUUUCCUUUUGUUAGGAUUCUGGCUAUUCAUUUUCUGAGCUUCGUCAGGAUGAGUUACAUAUAGAUGAAUCGGAUCAUUCUCUGCAAAAGAUAUACAUUUUUUCUAAAAAACUGAAGAAGAUUAUCAUGAAAAAUCUUUUGAGAAUAAAAAAUUUACCAUCACAAUAUACUUUCUUUUCCUUCCUGGUGUUUGACAGCUCUUUCCCUUUCCUUUUGUUAUAAUUCUGGCUAUUCAUUAUUGUAGUAUGGUGGGAUGAGUUAGAUAGAAAUAAAUGAGUAGGAUCAUUCUAUAGAAAAGAAAGACAUUUGUAUGUUCCUACAAAAGAAGAUAUGGAAUCUAUUAUGAAGGACUGAAAGAGAAUUCUACUUUUCUUACUAUGAA